rnacentral:sRNA from 21 species
UGAUGCCAGGGUCAAAAGGUCUAAGCCCACAUGAGCUUGCUCAUAGGUGGGUGAAAGACCUUAGAACCCGCCCCGAUAUGAGCAUAAAAGUGGGAUGAUAAUCCCACGAUAUGCGAAUAUUGGGCAGGAUUGUGGGAGUGCGUAGCACGGAGCAAUCCGUAGGCAUCA